AAGCCAGGGUUCCUAGUCUGUUGAGCCUCCCGAUCAGCUGACUUCUAUCUAUCUAUAAAUGUAACUGCAAAGCGAGAAAGGAAUAUUGUUUGCGAUACUUCUUUCUCUUCUGAUUAGGCCACAUCCCGCGAUGCCAAAUUGUGUUUUACACAUCGCGUAUUGAAAAUUUAAAUGAUAGUGAGUUGCAUUGCAUACCAGUUUAUUAGUAAUCGCGCCCACAAUAAGUAGAUAAGGAACGAUGACAGAAAUAACAAAGUUUAGACACAGAGAUUAAAACCAAACUUUUGAUCUCUUUGGUUUAAGAACAACUGGUAAUGUCCCAAUUGACUAAAUAACAAGGUCACUUUUAAACCCCCAUUGUGCAGGCUAGUAUGACAUUUCUAUGUUUUGGCGGGUAUUUUCCACGUGAUAUUGUCAUUUAAGAUUCAAAGCUUGCUUUCAACGUCGCCAACGUGGGAAAAUAUGGAGUGUUAAAGCAAAUUGUUGUAGUUGUACAUGUAGACGGGUUAUAUUUUGUCAAUGGAAGGUCGUAUACAAAAGCCAGGUUCAGUAAAUGAUCACGUUGAAGUUUAUGCUUUGUAUCUGAGUGGGUUGAGCUGCAACACAAAGAAAGAAAGGCCAAGUUAAGAAGAUAUGGGAAUAAUGGAUGUGUGGGUGCUGGUAACCAAUCAAGAUUAUGUUUAAAAGUAACCAGGGGAACUGAAGUACCUUAUCUAUGGUAUAGCCAUUCCAUGCUCACAGUCGAAAUGCUAAAUCUAUUGCAGUGUGUGGAUAAGCACAGAGGACUUGUUGGGGCAAUCUUUUUAUUGUAUGAGAGUGCGAAUAAAUUUUCGCCAACUGCGAACCUU